AGUGUCUUAAGUGUGAUUGUCUUGACCAGCCAAAGUAAAUCUAAGUGUCCGGACUCAAAGUGAGUCUAAAUGUGUCCAGGCCACCCAGAGUCAAAAUGUGUCUAGGCCACCCAGAUAGAGUCUAAAUUUGUCUCUAAAUAGAGUAUUGGCUGAAAACAGAUGAAUGAAAUGUACUAUUGUGCUUUAUCUUUUUUUUUCAUUCAAAGAAAUAAACUUUCAGUUUGAUCAGAAAG